rnacentral:lncRNA from 1 species
GGGUAUUCACCCUUUUCAAAUAUAUCAUUUGCAAAUACUUUCUCCCAUUCUGUGGAUUGCCUUUCACUCUGUUUUCUUCUUUGAUGCAUGGAAGUUGUUUCUGUGUUUCUUUUAGUUAUCUGUGCCUCUGGUGUCAUAUCUAAGAAAUCACUGCCAAAUCUAAUGUUGUUAAAAUUUUCCCUUAUGUUUCUCCUAAAUGUUUUAGUUUUAGCUCUUAGUUAAGGCCUUUUGUCCAUUUUAAUUUUUAUAUGUGGUGUGAGGUAGAUCUAGCUUCAUGUGAAUGUCCACUUGUUUAGCACCAUUUGUUGAAAAGACUGUCCCUUCUCCCUUGAAUGGUCUUGCCACCAUCAAAAAUCAUUUGACCCAUAUGUGCAAGGGUUUAUUUAGGGAUUUGCUAUUCUAUUCCAUUGGUCUAUAUGACUCUUUGUUUCACUACAACACCAUUUUGGUUAUUGUAGCUUUGUCAUAAGUUAUGAAAUAAGGAAGUGAGAGACCUCCUACUUUGUUCCCUUUCAAGAUGAUUUUGGCUGUGUGAGGUCUCUUGAGAUUCCAUAUGAAUUUCAGGAUGGGAAAAAAAAAAGCCAUUGGGAUAUUUUGAUAGAGAUUACAUGAAAUCUGUAGAUUGCUUUAGACUAUGGACAUGUUAAUAUUAAGGCUUCCAAACCAUAAACACGGAAUUGCUUUCUAUUUAUUUGUGUUGACCUUCCUUUCAGCAAUGUUUUAUGGUUUUCAGUGUACAAGUCUUUUACCUCAAGUUUAUUCCUAAAUAUUUCAGUUUUUUGUUACAAUUAUAAAUGGAAUUUUCUUAAAUUUCCUUUUGAGGUUGCUUGUUAUUGUAUAGAAAUAUCAUAGAUUUGUUGUGUUGAUUUUGUAAACUGCAAUGUUACUGAAAUUGUCUAUACAAAGACACUAGGAUUUUCUACAUAUAAGAUCAUGUCAUCUGCAAACAGAGAUAAUUUUGCUGCUUCUUUUCCAGUCUGGAUGCCUUUUAUUUCUUUUUCUUGCCUAAUUGCUCUAAGACUCCAGUACUGUGUUAAAUAAAAGUGGUGAGACAGGGUAUUUCUGUCUUGUUCUUGAUCUUCAAGUAAAUGCUUUCAGUCUUAUUGAAUAUGAUGUUUACAGUGGGAUUUUCAUAUGGCCUCUAUUUGAGGUUGUUUCCUUCUAUUCCCAGUUAUUGAGAGUUUUUAUCAUGAAAGGGCAUGACAUUGUCUCAAAUGCUUUUUCUGCAUCAGUUGAUAUCACAUUUUUUUUCUUUCAUUCUGUUAAUGUAGUAUGUAUUACAUUUAUUGACUUGAGCAUGUUGAAACAUCUUUGCAUACCAGCUAUAAAUCUCACUUGGCCAUGAUGUGUAAUCCUUUCAAUGUUCCCCUGAAUUGUGUUGGCCGUAUUUUGUUGAAUACUGAUUAAAAAAAAAAAAAAUCUUGGUCAGGAAUACUGAUGUGUGGUGUUCUUUUCUUGUAGUGUCUUUGUCUUUGUUUGGUUUUGGUAUCAGAAUAAUGCUGCCCUCAUAGGAUACAUUUGGAAGUGUCCUUUCCUCUUCAGUUUUUUGGAAGAGUCUGAGAAUUGAUUUAAUUCUUCAGAUGUUUGGUAGAAUUUCCAUAUGGCCCUGCGCUUUUCUUUGUUGGGAGGCUUUUCAUUACUAAUUCAUUCUCUUGACUAGCAUAGGUCUGUUUAGAUUUUCCAUUUCUUCAUGAUUCAGUCUUGAUACACUGCUGUGUGUUUCCAAGAAUUUGUCCAGUUCAUCUAAGUUAUCCAAUUCAUUGAUAUAUAAUUGCUCAUAGUACUCAGUUGUAAUGUCCCCUCCUUCUGGUUUUUAGUUGUUUUUCUUAGUCACUCUUAGCCAAAAGUCAGUUUUGGUUAUCAGCAAACUCUUGGUUUCAUUUAUUUUCCUCUAUUACUUUUCUGUUCUCUAUUUUUGUCUCUGCUCUAAUCUUUAUUAUUUCCUCCAUCCUGCUGGCUUUGGGUUGAUUGCUCUUCUUUUUCUAGUUCUUUCAGAUGUAAAUUUAGUGUUGACUUGAGAUCUUAAUUUUUUUAAUAUUUGUAUUUACAGUUAUAAAUUUCCUUUCUACCACUUUCACUGUGCCUGUUUUUUGUAUGUUAUGUUUAAAUUUUCAUUUAUCUCAAGAUAUUUUCUAAUUUCCCUUGUGAUUUCCCCCAUUAAUCCGCUGGUUGAGAGUGUUGUUUAAUUUUCACAAAAUUGUGUACUUUACAGUUUUUCAUCUAGUUACUGAUUUCUAGUUUCAUCCCACUGUGGCCAGAAAAGGUAUUUUAUUUCUUCAGUCUUUUGAAAUUUCUUGACUUGUUUUGUGGUCUAACAUACUGUCUAUCCUAGAGAAAGGUCCAUUUGCACUUGAGAAAAAUGUGUGUACUGCUGUUGUGUCUGUUAGGUCCAGUUGCUAUGAUGCUGUUCAAGUUCUGUCUUGCGACUGAUCGUCUGUCUGGUUGUCCUAUCCAUUACUGAACGUGGGCUGUUACUGAAAGAAGUCUCCUACUCUUACCAUGGAACUACCCAUUUCUUCCUUUGAUUCUGUCAAUGUUUGUUUCAUAUACUUUGGGGCUCUGAUGUUUGGUGCAUAUAUAUUACAUCUUCUUGGUGAAUUUUCAGACUUUUUAAAUUUCAACAACAUGAACAUGAAAUUAUAGGAUGUCUGGGAUUUCCUUUGAAUCCGUGGGACUGGGAGUAACUAUAGAUGAAACAAGGCUGGCCAGUAAUUUGAGGCUGCAAGGAUAGGUACACAUUGGGGUGUAAAGCAGGGCUCAACACUUUUUCGGUAACGGAGCAGAUGGUAAAUAUUGUUGGCUUUUCUAGCCAUGUGGCUCUCUUGCCACUUUGCGGUAGCGGCAUGAAGCAGCCACGCCACGCACCAGUACAUGUGGCUAUGUUCCAGUCAAACUUUUUGGACAAUAAAAUCUGAAUUUCACAUACUUUUCUUAUGUCAUUAGAUAUUACCCUUUUACCUCUUUUCACUGUUUAAAAAUGUAAAAAUCAUUCUUAACAUUUGGGCUGUGCAAAAACAGGGGGUGGACCCAAUUUUGGCCUGUAUUUCGCUUGCCAACCCGAUUUAUACUUUUGUAUCUAUUUGACAUUUUCCAUUAAAAGUUAU